UCAAACAAACGCCACGUCAACAAACGCCACGUCAACAAACGCCACGUCUACAAACGCCACUUCAACAAAAACGCCACUUCAACAAACGCCACGUCAACAAACGCCACUUCAACAAACGCCACUUCAACAAACGCCACGUCAACAAACGCCACUUCAACAAACGCCACUUCAACAAACGCCACGUCAACAAACGCCACGUCAACAAACGCCACUUCAACAAACGCCACGUCUACAAACGCCACUUCAACAAACGCCACGUCAACAAACGCCACGUCUACAAACGCCACGUCAACAAACGCCACUUCAACAAACGCCACUUCAACAAACGCCACUUCAACAAACGCCACGUCAACAAACGCCACUUCAACAAACGCCACUUCAACAAACGCCACUUCAACAAACGCCACGUCAACAAACGCCACUUCAACAAACGCCACGUCUACAAACGCCACGUCAACAAACGCCACUUCAACAAACGCCACGUCAACAAACGCCACGUCUACAAACGCCACUUCAACAAACGCCACUUCAACAAACGCCACUUCAACAAACGCCACUUCAACAAACGCCACGUCUACAAACGCCACGUCAACAAACGCCACGUCAACAAACGCCACUUCAACAAACGCCACGUCUACAAACGCCACGUCAACAAACGCCACGUCAACAAACGCCACGUCAACAAACGCCACUUCAACAAACGCCACGUCUACAAACGCCACUUCAACAAACACCACUUCACCAGUAAUACCUUCAGAUCCUGUAAUUGCAACUGCAAUUUUCAACAUGAUCUUCAGCAUCAAAGAAACGUUUGAUCCAGCACUGGCCAAUACCAGCUCUGCAGCAUUUGCAGCAAAAUCUACAAAUAUCCGUAAUAAGGUUGAACCAUUGUACAAGAAAGCCUUUAAAAACUUCGUCCUCAUGAAGAUUGUAAAAUUCAGGAGUGGUUCUAUUGUGACAGAAAGCAACGUUUAUAUGAAUUCUAGUGGCCCAAAUGUUACUGCGACCCAAGUGAGAAAUGUCCUUCUCAGUGGACUUAACAGCUUGGACUUUAUUGUUGAUCCAAACUCCAUCAAUGUCACCCAGACUCUUGGUAAUUCCACCAGUAAUUCCACCAGUAAUUCACCAGUGAUUGCCAGCUCACUCUCCAUGAUAUGGAUGUCUCUUCUAUCACUUCUACUUUCAGUGGCAUUGCACUUCUAGCUCUACACCUGAUCGGAAAACAUCCACAAUGACCCUUAUAUAUAAUGUAUGUAAUAAUGCAUAAGAAAAAGGGGAUAUGGGGAAAAUGAUUCACUCUUAUAAACAUGGGUAUAUUUAUAUAAGUAUUUGAAACUGGAGACUUAAUGAGGGUUCUGAUUUGCUUGAAAAUUUCUCAGCAUUCUAACAGGCCUACAAGGAUUUUAUUUCACUUUUUAAACUAUUGUGUAGUUAAUAGUAGAAAUUAAUGUUGUUCUAUACUGUAUAAUUUCUAAACACAAGUGUAUAUGCAAACCUAAAUUUAACUUCUUUAUAUCAGUGUAUAAUGAUUAUAAACAUUGUAUGAAAUAAAGCUUUCCACGAUUCAUUUAAUAUUUUAUGCAGAUCAUUUAAUAA
ensembl:lncRNA